UACAGAGGGGGCAAGCGUUGUUCGGAAUUACUGGGCGUAAAGGGCGCGUAGGCGGCCUGCUAAGUCGAACGUGAAAUCCCCGGGCUCAACCCGGGAACUGCGUCCGAUACUGGCAGGCUUGAAUCCGGGAGAGGGAUGCGGAAUUCCAGGUGUAGCGGUGAAAUGCGUAGAUAUUCGCAAGAACACCAGUGGCGAAGGCGGCUGACUGGUCCGGUUCUGACGCUGAGGUGCGAAAGCGUGGGGAGCAAACAGG
rnacentral:rRNA from 1 species